rnacentral:rRNA from 1 species
GACGAACGCUGGCGGCGUGCUUAACACAUGCAAGUCGAACGGUAAGGCCCUUCGGGGUACACGAGUGGCGAACGGGUGAGUAACACGUGGGUGAUGUGCCCUGCACUUCGGGAUAAGCCUGGGAAACUGGGUCUAAUACCGGAUAGGACUCCGGACUGCAUGGGCUGGGGUGGAAAGCUUUUGCGGUGUGGGAUGGGCCCGGGGCCUAUCAGCUUGUUGGUGGGGUGAUGGCCUACCAAGGCGACGACGGGUAGCCGGCCUGAGAGGGGGACCGGCCACACUGGGACUGAGAUACGGCCCAGACUCCUACGGGAGGCAGCAGUGGGGAAUAUUGCACAAUGGGCGCAAGCCUGAUGCAGCGACGCCGCGUGAGGGAUGACGGCCUUCGGGUUGUAAACCUCCUUCAGCAUCGACGAAGCGAAAGUGACGGUAGGUGCAGAAGAAGGACCGGCCAACUACGUGCCAGCCGCCGCCGUAA